GUUCACCCUCCUUCCCAUUUUUAGGCAGUGAUAUUCUCAGCCCUGCCUCUCCGAGCUUCCCUAGUGUUGUGUCUCUUUCUGGGUCUCUCUCCCUUUCUCUCUUACUUGUGAUCCCAUUCAGGACUGAAACUGCAGCUCAUGAAUAUGACUCAAAGCCCUCUUGGCUCCCAGCUGUCCCCUAAGCUGCAGACAGCCCCCCACUCCGGAUCCCCACAAAUUCUCCGCUCCUCCUGGUGGCAGCCCCCGAGGUCUCCUCUGGGGCGCUUUCCACCUCCAGGCCGUUCAGGGGCAUCCGGCUUGCCAGCUGCUCCAAGACCGUGAUGGGACCCGGAGAUGAGCCCGUGGCUCAGGCCAGCCAGGAAGACGACAUCCUGCUUGGCUGCCGGAACUGGCCGCUGGCUUUGCCAAGCCGUCCAAUACAAGGUGAGCUGCAGCUGGGGCCGCCGUUGCUGCGGCGUGGGGGACCCUCCGUGAAGAAAGCAGACCAGGGACAGAAGAGGAGACAGGUGAAUCCGGCUCCGUCCCCCGCGCGUCUGCAUGGGGCCGUGCGUGCAGGCACCUGCUCCCAGUCUUCUCAGCGGUGGGGGCUGACUCGGUCCCGCCUUCGAGGAAGCUGGUCUGGUUGGGUUUUGGUCACUUGCUGUCAAAGUAGGCACCUCAAGCAAGACUGAGGCCACUCUGUCCCCGGCCCACCAGACCCACUCCUCCUCGUCCGGCCUCCCUGGCUACGUUCGCGGCACCGUGUCCUCUGUCUGCCGGCGACAACUCCAACAUGCUGACUCCUCCCUCCUGAGUGUCCCUUACACGUGGUGCCAAGUUGCAUCUCUGAGUUGUUUCGGUCAUUUCCUCACUGGCUCCCUGUCUCCACUCUGCAGCUUGGACGUUUCUAGAGCACAGCCCUGAGACACCUACUGGGACGCCCAACGGCCUUCACCAACCCGCCUUCGUCCAGAAUCUAGGUCCCUGAUCCAAGCUCUGCUCAUUCCUUCCUUUAUUACGCAUGCGCUUUUCAUGUCCUCGCUGUGGGUCGGCGGGCGUCCCCACCUCCCCAUCAGCCACUAGCCCACCGCCGUCUGGCGGGCCCCACCGCCCGCAUUCAGGGCUCCCCGCACUGUCCCCGGGCCUCCCUGGCUGCCUCUCCCACCGCCACACGAGUGCCAGCCUGUGGGGCGCCUGGGUCGCCACCCAGAAGUGUCCUCCUGCCUCUGAGCACCCACAGCACCCUGUGUUCCUGCACAAGUUGACACCACCGGUCCUUUACGGGGAUCGCUUGCCUCCGUCUUUCCCUCCGAGAUUUCUGGAGAGCGGGGUCUGCGUCUCCCUUGCCUUGGGAUCCCCUAUCCGUACCUGCCCGUCCUGGAUGCUCCCAGAUACUUGCUGAGCGAAUGAAGGAAUAGCCGCGCCCGAGCACUAGCACGAGGCCUCCUGAGCUCCAGCUCCCCUCCCCCCGUUAAAUAAGAAACUUAAAAAAAAAAAAAAAAAAAAAGACCCGACUACGCAGAGGAGAGAGGGAGGGAUGAAGAGUUGAACGUGGAGGAUUUCUCGGGCAGCGAAACUACCCUGGAUGAUACCAUCAUCUUAUGAACAUUCUUAUGAACCCACAGCAUGCACAACCAACCCCAGGAGGGAGUUCCAGGGUGAAGGAUGGACUCUGGGUGACGAUGACCUGGCAGUGAAAGAGCUGGAAGAGGUGGGAACGCACUGAGUGACUCUGAGGACACCGGGAUGGCGCCCACGUCACAUUUGUGUUCCUGGUGUUCGACAGACAACACGCACCAUCACAGGCACCCCACGACACCCACGAUCUGUCUUAGGGUUUUUCUGGCGGGCGAUGGCAUCCUAACAAGGCCACCGAUGAGCUGGCCGGCCUGGGCAAAUCCUUCCAGCCUCUGUCUCGGCUCUGAGACGAUAAGGACUGUUUCUCCUUCCCAGCUCCCUGGGUGUGGGUGACGACAAGGGAGAACACCAGAGGAACACUGCAGUGGGCACACGGCUGCAUAAACACGUCCCAGAUGAGGAAGGGGGAAAAAAAAGUGGGGCCCCCCUAACACAUAAGGAUUCAACAAAUGAAAAUAGCAUCUGAGCAGCGAGAUGACUGCUUUACUUUUUCCCUUCCUGUUCUCCUGUGGUUCCCCAAUUGUCUCCCCUAAGCAGGCAUCGAUUGCUUUGAUUUAAAAGGCCCAUCCGGGAGCUGCUCAGGGCGCACCCCACCCUGGCCUCCCGGGCCCACAGCAUAGGUUCCACCCCGACAGCCAGGCGGCCCCGGGCGGCCCACAGCGAGGGCCAGACACGUCACUGCCGCGUGUGGCUGUGGCUUCCUUCCCCGACAAGUGAAACGGGAAAGGAGAGCCUGCCGCUCUCUUAUUUGGGACACUGGUGCUGGCAGCCUAGCAUCCGAGGGGACUGUUCCGUUGUUGCUGAAAAGCAACCUUCAAUUUUCAGUUUAAAAUAAACCCGGUCGCCCUUCCCAGUUCGUGGCCUCCCGGGGAGUUGCUGGGGGGUUGGGGUUGGACAAGGAAAGGCCCUGGGCUGCUUGGCGCCCAGGCGGGGAGCGGGGAGCGGGGAGCUGGAGGGCCGGGGCACGCUGGGGUCUCCUUCUUGCUUCUUGGCCCCUUCAAGGAGCCUUGGGCACCCACGAGGGGGGCAGAAAUGCAGCGACUCCGAGGAGAUUCAGGCUUAUGUGUGAGCCCAUCGAGUGGCUGAAGCAGGGGCUGGGGGUGUUGCUGCCAGAAGGGCCCAGAAUCCAAACACUCUAAAAUCCUACCUGGGCUUCGCGUCCCUGCUGCUGGGGUGGUCUCUUUCUUUUGAGCGCGAGCCUCCAGCUGUGCUCUCGGGACCCAGCUCCAGGCUCCGGCUCCCACAUCAGUGUGACCCACGCCCCCAGGGCUCUUGCCUCAGUGCAGAGGCUGACUCCAGGUCUGUGGGCCUGAGAGGCUCCUUGUGGCAAGGCAACAAGGCACAGACCUCAUGCCGGGUUUGCGGGCUGCACUGCACCCCCCGCAGGCCUGGUGGAGGCAGACCCCAGCCUUCACUGCAAGGGCGGAGGCCUUGAGGCAGGCCCUUCCUAAGGGCCUGGGGUGCCUCCCUCCCAGCAACUCCGGGGUGGGGGGUGGGGCGGAGGAUGUCCGCUGCACACCAAGGCCCAGUGGAGUCCCCAGCCACCGUGAGGCCUGCGGCAUGGAGUGGCCAGGUGACUGCCCUGCCUGCCGCUUUCUGGGCCUCUCCUGCUUUGCAGGGAGAAUUUUGGCUGCUUGGAUGAGGGCCCCAUGUUUCUCCAGCCCUGGGCAGCAGAGCAGGGUGGCCCAGAAGCAGGUGGGGGGCCCCCAGGACUCUCUCUGGGGCCCUUCGUCUUCCUUCAUUCAAACUGGAGAAGGCCAGCUGGGCCGAGAGAGAGAGAGACACGUGCACUCUGGGGCCAUGGGCUGACUUGGGACCUUGGGGACUGAGUGUGUGCAGAGCUGGCCAGGGAUCGGGUCUACCCACCGGAGAGCUCCUUCCCUGCUUGUCUGGCUCUCCUCCCUCCAGGGAGCCAGCAGGGGCUCUGAGGAGGCCUAGACCUCUGGGGCCUCGAAGCUUGGUCAUCCCCCACGACCCCCUUGGCAGGCUGUUCCCCCAACAUCUAUGGAACGCAGGUGUCCUGUGGACGUUCUGCCCACCUGCCUCCCGGCAACCAGCAUGGCAUCCUUAGGAGGAGCAGCAGGAAGGAGACACUCGGACUGUCCGCUUUGCUUACAUGGUAGCAGGGGCUGUUCCAAGCACCUGUAUCAUAAGCUCUUCUAGUCUGCACGGGAAUCCCACGAGGCAGUAGGGAAAGUAAACAUCCAGAAGAGGGUUGAAAGGGAGGAUGCAGCACAAGGCGUGCGGCUAAGACGGCCUUUGGUAUACAUCGGAGGGCUACCUGUGCUGGGCCGGGAUUCUUUGAAGGCACCACAGAAGAGAAAACCCACACCCACCUUCUUCCCUAAUAAACAGACUAUGGUUAAACGAAGCUCAUUCUAUACAUUUCUAUGGGAACCGAAAAAUAAAUUCUGCAAAAAAA